UGGGGAAAGAGGGUAUUUAUUAACCAACAGGAGGGGGAGGAGCUGAGCCCAGGCUCCCCACUCUGUCACAUGCCUGUUCUGCCCACCUUGGUGGUGAGUGGGGGCAUUCCUAAAGAAGUGUAGCCGUUCUCACAAUAAAUACAUUCAUUGUGGGGUGGAGGUGGGAGAAGUUGGGUGAAGGGCAGUAAAAACCCGUGGGAUUCCACGUUCUCAGCUACAAAAAUAACAGUCAUCCUCACCCAAGGGGAAUGGGGGAGCUCAGUCAGGAUUUGAUUGUCCCAUAUGGGCCUGGAGACUUCAGAGGCCCCUGGACCCUGAAAGUGCCCCGGUGAGGUAGGACAGGGAUGGGAGCCAAGCAUCCAAACUCCCAGCCUCUGCCCUUUGCAUAGUUCCAAGAACGGGCUUCAUGUGCCAGGUGAGACAUCAGAUCUCCUCCCCCUGCUCUGGUCUGGGGGUAGCAAAUGCUUGGUCCCCAAAAGGGAGGCUGGCUCAUUGCAGUGUUGGUCACCCGUCCCAGGGAAAUGUCUGAGAGGACAGCUGAAUGGGAGAGGGCUCUCCCUCUGAAAUGUCCAUGGACCAAACCCAACAGAUACAGGUCCGAGGCAGCAAAGGGAGGCUCAGAAAUGCAAGUGGAAAUGUAAGCACGUGUGUGUGAAGGGACAUGCCUGGGGCUCUGUCUGUCACUCUUGAGAGUGACCAAGGGGGUGAGGAGGUUGACCAAAGAGGGCUGCACGUUAAGGAAGAAGAGGGGAAUGACACAGUCUUACCUCCCCAGACUGGCCUGUUCCCAAGCUUUUGCCAAAGAGGUCACCACAUGGGGCUGGGACUAGGGGAGAAACCUAGAUAGGAUGGGAUAUGGCCGUUGGAAGGGUACCCAAAGUCCAGGAGAGAUGAAACACAAUGUUCCAGGAGAUGGGGGUGGGGGCCCUGCAGCCCAGCUGAUAGACAUUCAUCCGUGUGCACACGUGAAUGCAUGCAGGGCUCAGGUGGCUCUGGUGGCUGGCAGAGGUCUUGUCUGGUUUCGGGACCAUCCAGCACAUAGGGCCACGCAGAGGGUGGUGACCUUGAGGUCAUCUGGACCUGCAGAGCCCUGCCUGGGAGAAAGAGGAAGGAUUUGAACAGACAAAUGGGGCAGGAAGAUGGCAUCCUCUCCUCCCAAGUGCUUGGGGUAAGGGAAUAGGAACUGGGGCUGGGUCUACAGAAUUCCACGUCCUGGGGGAGUACCCACCUCUGAGGAGCACCGGUGGGCCUGGGCUGCUCACAGAUGGGUCUGUGGAGACUGAGGAGGGGACUUUGGCUGGGCCUGACUCUGCCAGCCCUACAGGGACAUCACAAAGUUGGGAGAAGGGCCUGGAGUUGGGGGGAGGGAGGUGAAGGUAGAGUGGCUGUGUUGGGGAAGCAGCAGCCCAGCCUGGGGCAGACAGGCUGGCUUGGAAGAGCAUUUGUCCUAGGAGGCUGGGCUCAGACAGAGCUCUCGUCCAGGUGCUCUACUAGCUGUGUGUGUUUCCUCUUCUCCAGGAUGCGGCUGAGCUCCUCAGCAAACGAGCAGGGCCCUGCCGGCACUCCGUUGUUGCUCUGCCUCAGGAGCACGUAGCUGUUGCCGUUCAUCCUGCGCAGCCGGCUGGGUAGUGCCACCAGCCCGUUGGUCAGCUCGGCCGGUGGCGGUGGGGGCGGCGGAGGCGGUGGGGCUGGGGCUCCCUCCCCAGGGAUGAUCUGGAGGCAGCCACCUUCCAGGCCCCCAGCCCCCUCCCCAUCAUCACCCUCGUCUUCCUCUCCAGGACAUUGGCCUGAAACUGUCUGCAGCUGCACAGCAGAGCCCCCUGCCCGGCCAGCCCGACCCAGAGAGUAUUUCCUUCGACGCCCUCGUCUGCCUCCCUGAAGACAGGCCACAUAGAGGAGGGAGGAAGCCAGGAUGAGGCAGAGGCCGCCAAGCGCAGCGAUGGCUAGCACAUACAGUAGCCUCACGUCAGGUGCCAGCUGUGCCCCGGGCACGGCAGGGGCUUGUGGAGCUGGGGCAGGAGUGGCUGGCCGGACUGUGAGGCUGUAGGAGGCCAGCAGGGUGCGGAGGCCAUUCUCCUCAGCAUAGCAGCCAUAGUUGCCACUGUGCUCAGGCUGUAUGUUUGUCACCAGCAGCCCAUCCACGCCCACGCGGUAGCCAUGCUGUCCGUCAUUCAGGCCCAUGCUCCCAUUGAGCAGCCACAAGGCCCGGGCCAGGUUGGAUGGCUGGUCACAGGGCAGGAGAACAUCGUCACCUCGGAGGACAGAGCGGGUUCUCAGUGGUGGUGGUGGCCCUGGAGGUGGGGAGGGGGGGCGGUGAGAGGAGUGGUCAGUGUUGUCUAUCUGAGGGAGGGCGUUGGAGAUGGCAGGUCAGGUGGUUCACUGUUAGUCCCUAGCACCAAGCGCAAAUCUGGAAUCAUGGUGACAACUGAAUGAGGUCUCCUGCGUUUGUGUUCCCGUUUAAGGUUUGCAUUGGCCCGUCUCAGUGGUUUCAGUGCCUGCUAUCUGCCAAUAAUUUGUAAGCUCAAUCUCUAGAAGAGUUCUCCCCUGAUCGACAGACCUGAACAUCUUCCGCACGUGACAUCUCCACGGGAGGUCUCUUGAACAUGGCACAGGAACUAAGGCCAAAGCCUCCGUCCCAAACUACACGAGGUCUUUUCCUUGAAUUGUCACAGUGAAUGGCACCAGUAGCUACUCAGCUGCUUAAGUUAGAAACCGGGGAGUCCCCUUGCCCCUUGUCUCUCUCCUUCACCUUCGUGUCUAAUUCUCAGCAGGAUUCUGCUUCCAGAAUCCAUCUCAGCCCUGUUCACUUCUCUCCUUCCCCAGCUGCUGGCCCACUCUGGCCCCCAUGUAAUUUAUUCUCCAUGCAGGAGUGGGGUAACCUUUUAAAAACACCACACUGAUUGUGCCACUUCCCCGCCUCAACAUGGUCCCUGCCCACUUCUCCAGCCUCUUGGCAAACACCCCAAGCUCAUCGGCCUGCUGUCCCCUCUGCUUGGAUGUCACCCCCCUCUCCGUGCCCUCCGCUGGUUGGCCAGGGGGAAAGAGCACAGAAGUAAUGAAAAGCACAAACUCCAGUCAGACUGUUCGGGGUCAGGUUUGAAUUCUGACCCCACUACUUAAUAGCUUAUUAACUUUGGGCAGUGUAGUUACUCUCCCUGUACCUCAGAGAGAUUGCCCCUCAUAGGGAUGGGGAUCGUGGCACCUCUCUCCUAGCAAUGCUGUGAGCAUAAGAGAGAUCGUGUGUGUACGUGUUCGGUCAGCGCCUGGCACAGGGUAAGUACUCAGUACAUGUUAGUAUGACUAUUAACUUCCGCUCCUCCUUUAGGUAUCAGCUCAGUCAUCUGAUCUUCCUCAGGGGAGUAUUCAUUGUCCUUCAAAUCCUUGUUAUAGUUGUAAGUAUUCCUUUUGUAGCAAAAACCAAUGGAAAGAAUUACUUGUGUGAUCAUUUAAUUGCCCCCCCUCCCGCCCCCGCCAGCACACACUUGGCUAUAAGCUCAGGUGUGACAAAAAGAACUUUUAUGUCAUGAGCCUUUCUCCUCAUUUAUAAUCCUUUAGGGCAACAGAUGUCUGUGGAGCACUUACUCUGUGCCACACUGUGCUGGAACAUCCUCGCUGAAAGCACACAGACACAACCAUUCAGAUAUGUACACGCACAGGCAAAUGACAGUAAACGUAGAGGACAGGCUAUGCAGCCGGGCCUACACACGUCCAUGCCUGUCACUUACCUGUGUCCUUGUUGCCUUCACAGCCUCGGUUUCCUCUCUCUAUGUCCUGUAUCAGUGCUGUCCUAAACUCACGAACAGGGGAACUGAGCUUUAGUUUCCCCAGUGGAAGUCAAUGAUGCUGUUGCCAACAACUGCCCCCCACUCCCCUUCCAGCUAGCAGGCCCGCCUCCUCCCCUCAGGCCCUGAUCCCCUGUUCACACGGGACCCUCACACCCCUACCACCUCUUACCUGCUACCCUGGGACCUGUUGGUUAUGAUGCAGGCAUGGGUGCUGGGGUCCCAGCCACAGUAGGGGUCCCGGGCCAGGAUGCAGUCAUAGCAGGAGCGGUAGCGGGAGCAGCUCGACAGUGGUAGCUGGAUGACACCACUAGGGGCCCCCACGUAAAGGCUGUGCUGGGAGCCGGAGAGGAAAGCUGGUUGGCAACACCCCCAGCUCCCACCUACAGACACACACGGCCACUGCCCAGACACCCACUCCCUCCCCCUAUUCUGGCAAGUAGUGGGUCAGAGGCUACCUGCAUUGGAGAGAUGACCAGAUUUUCCACAGACUGGGGCUCCUUGAACACUUGUGUCUCUUCGAUAAUGUGCAUCCCAGAACCCAGCACCACGGCCUUGUGGAUCCAGCCAUCAGCUGGUAUGGAAAGGGCAGAGGGUCAGAACCCAGAAACGGAAUCUGUUUUCAGCCCCCUGCAAUAGCCUAA
rnacentral:lncRNA from 1 species